UACGUAGGGUGCGAGCGUUGUCCGGAAUUACUGGGCGUAAAGGGCUCGUAGGCGGCCAACUAAGUCAGACGUGAAAUCCCCAGGCUCAACUUGGGAACUGCGUCUGAUACUGGAUGGCUUGAAUUCGGGAGAGGGAUGCAGAAUUCCAGGUGUAGCGGUGAAAUGCGUAGAUAUCUGGAGGAAUACCGGUGGCGAAGGCGGCAUCCUGGACCGACAUUGACGCUGAUGAGCGAAAGCUAGGGGAGCAAACGGG
rnacentral:rRNA from 1 species